GACGAACGCUGGCGGCGUGCUUAACACAUGCAAGUCGAACGGAAAGGCCCUGCUUUUGUGGGGUGCUCGAGUGGCGAACGGGUGAGUAACCCGUGAGUAACCUGCCCUUGACUUUGGGAUAACUUCAGGAAACUGGGGCUAAUACCGGAUAGGAGCUCCUGCUGCAUGGUGGGGGUUGGAAAGUUUCGGCGGUUGGGGAUGGACUCGCGGCUUAUCAGCUUGUUGGUGGGGUAGUGGCUUACCAAGGCUUUGACGGGUAGCCGGCCUGGGAGGGUGACCGGCCACAUUGGGACUGAGAUACGGCCCAGACUCCUACGGGAGGCAGCAGUGGGGAAUAUUGCACAAUGGGCGGAAGCCUGAUGCAGCAACGCCGCGUGCGGGAUGACGGCCUUCGGGUUGUAAACCGCUUUCGCCUGUGACGAAGCGUGAGUGACGGUAAUGGGUAAAGAAGCACCGGCUAACUACGUG
rnacentral:rRNA from 1 species